rnacentral:lncRNA from 1 species
GUGGAGUUAAAUGAGGUAGUAUCAGGGUUUGGAGGAGCCUGUGACAUCACUAGGAGGGGCUUGUGACAUCAUGGUUUUUGGAAGUAGCAAGUAUCUGGUUACUUUUUGGCAGGAGAAGAGGCAACGUGGGAAGAAGGUUAUCCUUUGGUAAGUGGGAGAAGCCAUCUUUUUAGUUGUCCUGCAUUGGGAUGUAACAUCUGGUGUUCUUCAGCAGAAACAAAGGCAACAGUUAAUAGUUUAUCAGCACAAUCAUUACCAUAAGUAAGUGGACCUGAGAGGAUUAAUUCUUUCUCGAAGGAGCCAAUGAAGAGCCUGCAACAAUCCAAAAACAGGAGAAGAUGCACAAAGUACAGCUAUGGGAAGUAGAG